rnacentral:tRNA from 1 species
CGCGGAGUGGAGCAGUUGGUAGCUCGUCGGGCUCAUAACCCGAAGGUCGUAGGUUCAAGUCCUUCCUCCGCAACCA